AUGAGUAGGGAUAAUGAUGAUGACCAGAGAGUACAUACUGGGACUCUUGCCAAGAGUAAGGACUCAAAGAGUAAGAGCAAUGAUGAAGAUGGUUCUAAUGAGAACAAAGAGAGCACUCAUGCAUCCACUACCCAGAAGAAGAUGAAGGUGGCAUGGACAACUGAGCUUCAUAACAAGUUUCUAGAAGCUAUCUACCAGAUCGGCCUUGAAAAGGCUGCUCCAAACAAGAUAUUGGAGCUGAUGAAUGUGGAUUACCUCACUAGACGUAAUAUUGCGAGUCAUCUACAGAAGUAUAUAUUGUACUUGAAUAGAGUCAAAUCAAAUCCACUCGGUGAUGCAAGUGAAAGACAAAACUCAUCCAUGGGGAAUCAAAGGAAUUUUAUGCAUAACCAUGAUCAUGGAAGAUGGCAUGUGUCCUCAUGUGGCAACCCCUCCUGGAGUCCAAAUUAUUUCGGUGCAACUAGUCAAUUAGGCCAGCUGACGGACAACCAGAGCAACAUGUGCAUGGGGUCGUUAAUCCAUGGUGGAAGAAUGUCGAGGUAUUUGGUUCCAAACACACCGGAUGCGAGAAGAUUUGCCGAUCCCGAAGACCCUCCCAUUAGCCUAUACAAUGGCAUACUCGAUGACAUAAUGUUAGAUGAAUUUUCCUCGUAUAGCUCUGGUACUUCCUAUGUUGACUCCAUGCGUGGCAAGUUGAUGGAGACAAGUAAAGGAAAAACCCCAUCAAAUCUUCGAAGUCACUUAACAAACACAUCUGGUGGUGGCGGGAGGUCGGCACCCACAAAUGAGUACCGGUAG
rnacentral:rRNA from 1 species